rnacentral:rRNA from 1 species
AGUGAACGCUGGCGGUAGGCCUAACACAUGCAAGUCGAACGGCAGCACAGUAAGAGCUUGCUCUUACGGGUGGCGAGUGGCGGACGGGUGAGGAAUACAUCGGAAUCUACUUUUUCGUGGGGGAUAACGUAGGGAAACUUACGCUAAUACCGCAUACGACCUACGGGUGAAAGCAGGGGAUCUUCGGACCUUGCGCGAUUGAAUGAGCCGAUGUCGGAUUAGCUAGUUGGCGGGGUAAAGGCCCACCAAGGCGACGAUCCGUAGCUGGUCUGAGAGGAUGAUCAGCCACACUGGAACUGAGACACGGUCCAGACUCCUACGGGAGGCAGCAGUGGGGAAUAUUGGACAAUGGGCGCAAGCCUGAUCCAGCCAUACCGCGUGGGUGAAGAAGGCCUUCGGGUUGUAAAGCCCUUUUGUUGGGAAAGAAAAGCAGCAGGUUAAGACCCCGCUGUUCUGACGGUACCCAAAGAAGAAGCACCGGCUAACUUCGU